rnacentral:rRNA from 1 species
GACGAACGCUGGCGGCGUGCUUAACACAUGCAAGUCGAACGGAAAGGCCCUGCUUUUGUGGGGUGCUCGAGUGGCGAACGGGUGAGUAACACGUGUGUAACCUGCCCUUUACUUUGGGAUAACUUCAGGAAACUGGGUCUAAUACCGGAUAGGAGCUCCUGCUGCAUGGUGGGGGUUGGAAAGUUUCGGCGGUUGGGGAUGGACUCGCGGCUUAUCAGCUUGUUGGUGGGGUAGUGGCUUACCAAGGCUUUGACGGGUAGCCGGCCUGAGAGGGUGACCGGACACAAUGGGACUGAGAGACGGCCCAGACUCCAACGGGAGGCAGCAGUGGGGAAUAUUGCACAAUGGGCGGAAGCCAGAUGCAGCAACGCCGCGUGCGGGAUGACGGCCUUCGGGUUGUAAACCGCUUUCGCAUGUGACGAAGCGUGAGUGACGGUAAUGGGUAAAGAAGCACCGGCUAACUACGUG